CUGCCGGCGACCGGCGGACGGGUGCGUAACGCGUAUGUAACCUACCUUUGACAGGGGGAUAACAUCGAGAAAUUGGUACUAAUACCCCAUAACAUCACCGGAGGCAUCUUCGGUGGUUGAAAACUCAGGUGGUCAGAGAUGGACAUGCGUUGUAUUAGCUAGUUGGUGAGGUAACGGCUCACCAAGGCGACGAUACAUAGGGGGACUGAGAGGUCAACCCCCCACAUUGGUACUGAGACACGGACCAAACUCCUACGGAAGGCAGCAG
rnacentral:rRNA from 1 species